CCCUCAAUGGCUUCCUCUACCUUGGUCUUGUCAUCUGCGGAGAGCUUGGAAGCUAUCUUCUCAUCCUUCACAGUGUUCCUCAUGUUGUAUGCAUAGUUCUCCAAUGCAUUCUUUGCUUCAACCUUCUUCUUGUGUUCUUCAUCCUCUGACUUGUACUUCUCAGCUUCCUGGACCAUCUUCUCAAUUUCCUCCUUGGAGAGUCUACCCUUGUCAUUGGUGAUGGUGAUCUUGUUCUUCUGUCCAGUAGUCUUGUCCUCAGCAGACACAUUUAGGAUACCAUUGGCAUCAAUGUCAAAGCAAACAGUGAUCUGAGGAACACCCCUUGGAGCCGGAGGAAUGCCAGAGAGCUCAAACUUACCCAGUAAGUUGUUGUCCCUGGUCCUGGUUCUCUCACCUUCAUAAACCUGAAUCAACACACCAGGCUGGUUGUCGGAGUAGGUGGAAAAGACCUGCUCUUUCUUGGUAGGGAUAGUUGUGUUUCUUUGAAUCAAGACGGUCAUGACACCUCCAGCUGUUUCCAAACCAAGGGAAAGAGGGGUAACAUCCAAUAGAAGAAGAUCCUGCACCUUCUCAUUGCCUUCACCACUUAAGAUUGCUGCUUGUACAGCAGCCCCAUAAGCCACAGCCUCAUCAGGAUUAAUACUUUUGCAGAGCUCCUUUCCAUUGAAAAAAUCCUGCAACAGCUGCUGAACCUUUGGAAUCCUG
rnacentral:lncRNA from 1 species